UGAGGAAUAUUGGUCAAUGGGCGAGAGCCUGAACCAGCCAAGUAGCGUGCAGGAUGACGGCCCUAUGGGUUGUAAACUGCUUUUGUAUGGGGAUAAAGUCAAUCACGUGUGAUUGUUUGCAGGUACCAUACGAAUAAGGACCGGCUAAUUCCGUGCCAGCAGCCGCGGUAAUACGGAAGGUCCAGGCGUUAUCCGGAUUUAUUGGGUUUAAAGGGAGCGUAGGCUGGAGAUUAAGUGUGUUGUGAAAUGUAGACGCUCAACGUCUGAAUUGCAGCGCAUACUGGUUUCCUUGAGUACGCACAGCGUUGGCGGAAUUCGUCGUGUAGCGGUGAAAUGCUUAGAUAUGACGAAGAACUCCGAUUGCGAAGGCAGCUGACGGGAGCGCAACUGACGCUUAAGCUCGAAGGUGCGGGUAUCAAACAGGAUUAGAUACCCUGGUAGUCCGCACAGUAAACGAUGGAUGCCCGCUGUUGGUACCUGGGAUCAGCGGCUAAGCGAAAGCAUUAAGCAUCCCACCUGGGGAGUACGCCGGCAACGGUG
rnacentral:rRNA from 1 species